GGAGAAGGCAAAGUGCAGAGGAAGGAGGAGCCACUGCUAGUGGGUACGAGGUUUCUUCUUGGUACAAGGCCAAGAUCCAACUCAGAAGACUAGAAAAUGAACAACCCAGCAAACUUAGGAGAUGGGGAAGGAAGGGAAUUCAGAAGGUGAUAGCUGCAAGCAUCGGCAGACCAGUCCUAGCAAAAUGGAGUUUAAAAGGGGGACUUCUACGUUCUGUCCUCCUGCAGCCAUCUAAAAUCAGCCAGAAAGGUUUAGGAUCCCAUUUCCUGUUCUUGCAUCGGCUGUCCAAGCUGCUGUUCCUCUCUCCGCAGUAAGAGGGUGUUUCUCUCCCUGUUCAAGAGGAGCACCAACACUUGAGGACAGUAUCAUCCCUAGACCUUGGCAAGAGAGACCACUGAGUGAGGCAUCCAUGGAACCCAAGGAAGAGGCCUACGAAGAACCUGCAGUCACCUUCUAGACCAUUCUCCCUCACCAAACUGUCCCCUCCAGAGAGCUGAGGACUGGAUCUUCCCAUGCUGACACCUCCAGUGGGAAAGAAAAUUCUAGAUUCAGCUCUGGGUGUCCAAGUCAUUAUGAAGGCAUAUUUGUCAAGGUGGAAGAAAAGGACAUAUUCUAUUUAGCAGUUUGCAAUGUCCAGCCACCUACUGAUCGUAUGUGAUGGGGGGUGAGGAGGAGAUACUUUGCAUGGCCCCCAGUGACAAAGAAGAGGCCCUUAGCUAUAGCUACUCUUGUUUUAGAGGACAACUUCUCUUCACUGAGGACAACACAGAAUCCUGGAGAUAUUUUUGAUGAGUAGUAAAGAAGUAAUGCAUGACUCUGAUUUGCGGCUGCAGGAUAAAUCCGAACUAUUUCAGGGAGAUGUCAUGGAGAGCUCAUCUCUCAGCAUCAAAGUUGCCUCUCCUGACUUUUGAAUUUUAAGUGUUCUGUGUGGAAGAAAAAUGGAGACAACAAAUUUCUAUGCAUGGAUUCAAAGAAUCCUCGUAAUAUACAGACUACAUUCUCCCCAGCUUUUUAUCUCUAUAUAUUCUUUUUGUUGAGUUUCAACCACAUAGGGUUGAAAUUCACCUUCCCACAUUACAUUUUUCAUCAAUAGUUGAAGACCUAUGUAUGUAAAUAUCAGGAACUAUCAGAACUCCCUGCAACAGGAAACCUGACCCCCAACUCCCCCGAAAUGCAUCAUGAUAAACAGUCACUUGCCAAAAUAACAAAUCAGCUUCCUGGAACAUGCUUGCUCAAAACCAGGAGAGGAGCUUAGAGACGUCAGCUUGACUUCUGCCUCGUACGCAGGAAGGGUGACCUUCAAAGAUCAAACAUCGUCCCAAAUCUCCCUUCAUCUUGUAGUACUCCUGCUUGUCGUAGCUCCUGUUACCAUCAGAGACAGAAUGUGCUAUAACCUUCUGGAAACUUCUACUAUUUUCCUGCAACCUGACUACCCCUUAGGUGAGGGAGUCCAGAAUGCUGGCUUGAAAUGGGAGAGAGAAAGAACUGCCACAUAAUUUGCAAGAUCUUUUUUGAAAAAGAAAAGGUAUUAAGAAUUCCAGGACAGCAUUAGGAAUGUAUUAAACCAGAAUAAGGAACAGCGGAGCUUCCCCCUAAGACCCUGGUGUGUUUCUGCAUCAGGAAACCUUCUCUCCUGCAAUGUGUCGUUUAAGAUUGAACAACAUGGUGCCUUUGCCAGAAGUUAACAGGAAACCCAAAAGGAGAUGAGCCAGACUGGUUAGUUCAGAAGAGAAUCGUUGGGGAAGACAAUGGGAGCUGCUGUUUGAAUGUGGCCCUGAGAUUAUUUGUGCUUUUCAAUCCCAUGUUACCAAAACACAUUUCAAGCUGGCCUAUAAAUCACACCUUGUGCAUAAUUUUAAGUGGAUAAAUAUUUGUCGCCCAAGUGAAUGAUGCUUCCAGCUUUCAAAAAA
ensembl:lncRNA novel transcript